GGAGAACACAGGGUGAAAAGAAAAUGCUUAGAGAAUAAUCUUCUGCUGAAAUGUCACUUGGGGACCUCCCUUCCAGAGGGGAUUUUCGGCUCUUGUUUUCUCUGUUCCCACGACUUCUUCAGGACUUUAUGUGCAUGAUGCUCCAGAACUCCCAGGACAGCCCCCUGAGGUUGGCACUACUUCAUCCCCAUUUGAUGACUGAAAACACAGAGGCUUCGAAAAACCCCAGAGGCAAAAAGGGGAAAGAUGAGCAUCUAAACCAGGUGAGCAAUUGUAUUUCUGGAGCUCAUUCAUACUGCCUAUCACACAGUCUCAUUCGAUCAGCUACCUUUCUUCCGGGGCUUUGUUGGAUUCUGUUUAGCUAACAAAGAAUAAUAAUGGAAGGGCCACCUGACUGGUUGUCAACAUGAAAUGACUCAAUUGUUCUUUCUAUUUCGUCUUUCCUUCUCAAGCCAAACCUUGAGAACAAGUCUGGAAACAUUUUGCAUGUACUGGCAAACAGGAUGGUGAAUUGACAACACUUGCUGUUAGUAAUUAGGGCGUGGUAAUAUGCUCCUUUGGUAAUUAGUGCAUUAAUGUGGCAUAGAUUGUAUCGCUUACAGUGAUUGAAAGGUGUGGCAAGCUCAGAACAUUAACAUUGGAAGCUGGAAGCUGCUGGGAGGUGGUGUAGUGUGGACACUACCAGGGCUGGAGGGGAGUCGGAGGCCCUGGGUUCUUGGCCUGGCUGUGCCCCUCAUGUGCUGUGUGAGCUUGGACAAGUCACUUUGCCUUUCUGGACUUCAGUUUCUUUAUGGGUAAAAUAAAGAGAUCAUAUUCUGCUGUGUGAAGGGAAGA
rnacentral:lncRNA from 13 species